UACGGAGGGUGCAAGCGUUAAUCGGAAUGACUGGGCGUAAAGGGUGUGUAGGCGGUUUAAUAAGUUAGGUGUGAAAUACCCGGGCUUAACCUGGGAGUGUCACUUAAGACUGUUAGACUAGAGUAUGGGAGAGGGUAGUGGAAUUUCCGGUGUAGCGGUGAAAUGCGUAGAGAUCGGAAGGAACACCAGUGGCGAAGGCGGCUACCUGGCCUAAUACUGACGCUGAGACACGAAAGCAUGGGGAGCAAACAGG
rnacentral:rRNA from 1 species